CUCCUCUUACGUUAGCGGCGGACGGGUGAGUAACACGUGGGUAACCUACCUAUAAGACUGGGAUAACUCCGGGAAACCGGGGCUAAUACCGGAUAAUACAUGAAACCGCAUGGUUUCAUGAUGAAAGACGGUUUUGCUGUCACUUAUAGAUGGACCCGCGGCGUAUUAGCUAGUUGGUAAGGUAACGGCUUACCAAGGCAACGAUACGUAGCCGACCUGAGAGGGUGAUCGGCCACACUGGAACUGAGACACGGUCCAGACUCCUACGGGAGGCAGCAGUU
rnacentral:rRNA from 1 species